CGGUAAACGGCGGCCGUAACUAUAACGGUCCUAAGGUAGCGAAAUUCCUUGUCGGGUAAGUUCCGACCUGCACGAAUGGCGUAAUGAUGGCCAGGCUGUCUCCACCCGAGACUCAGUGAAAUUGAACUCGCUGUGAAGAUGCAGUGUACCCGCGGCAAGACGGAAAGACCCCGUGAACCUUUACUAUAGCUUGACACUGAACAUUGAGCCUUGAUGUGUAGGAUAGGUGGGAGGCUUUGAAGUGUGGACGCCAGUCUGCAUGGAGCCGACCUUGAAAUACCACCCUUUAAUGUUUGAUGUUCUAACGUUGACCCGUAAUCCGGGUUGCGGACAGUGUCUGGUGGGUAGUUUGACUGGGGCGGUCUCCUCCUAAAGAGUAACGGAGGAGCACGAAGGUUGGCUAAUCCUGGUCGGACAUCAGGAGGUUAGUGCAAUGGCAUAAGCCAGCUUGACUGCGAGCGUGACGGCGCGAGCAGGUGCGAAAGCAGGUCAUAGUGAUCCGGUGGUUCUGAAUGGAAGGGCCAUCGCUCAACGGAUAAAAGGUACUCCGGGGAUAACAGGCUGAUACCGCCCAAGAGUUCAUAUCGACGGCGGUGUUUGGCACCUCGAUGUCGGCUCAUCACAUCCUGGGGCUGAAGUAGGUCCCAAGGGUAUGGCUGUUCGCCAUUUAAAGUGGUACGCGAGCUGGGUUUAGAACGUCGUGAGACAGUUCGGUCCCUA
rnacentral:rRNA from 1 species